rnacentral:rRNA from 1 species
UACGAAGGGGGCUAGCGUUGCUCGGAAUUACUGGGCGUAAAGCGCACGUAGGCGGCUUUCUAAGUCGGGGGUGAAAUCCUGGAGCUCAACUCCAGAACUGCCUUUGAUACUGCAAGUCUUGAGUCCGGAAGAGGUGAGUGGAAUUCCUAGUGUAGAGGUGAAAUUCGUAGAUAUUAGGAAGAACACCAGUGGCGAAGGCGGCUCACUGGUCCGGUACUGACGCUGAGGUGCGAAAGCGUGGGGAGCAAACAGG